UACGAAGGGGGCUAGCGUUGUUCGGAAUCACUGGGCGUAAAGGGCGCGUAGGCGGCUGUUCAAGUCGGGGGUGAAAUCCCGUGGCUCAACCACGGAAUGGCCUUCGAUACUGGACGGCUGGAGACCGGAAGAGGUGAGUGGAACUGCGAGUGUAGAGGUGAAAUUCGUAGAUAUUCGCAAGAACACCAGUGGCGAAGGCGGCUCACUGGUCCGGUUCUGACGCUGAGGCACGAAAGCGUGGGGAGCAAACAGG
rnacentral:rRNA from 1 species